CGCCCGGUUUUUUUAAAAACCACGGUUUGUUUUUUUAGAACGGUUU
rfam:Triticum aestivum genome assembly, contig: Triticum_aestivum_CS42_TGACv1_scaffold_061072_1DL